rnacentral:rRNA from 1 species
GACGAGCGCUGGCGGCGUGCUUAACACAUGCAAGUCGAACGGAAAGGCCCUGCUCUUGUGGGGUGCUCGAGUGGCGAACGGGUGAGUAACACGUGAGUAACCUGCCCUUGACUUUGGGAUAACUUCAGGAAACUGGGGCUAAUAUCGGAUAGGAGCUCCUGCUGCAUGGUGGGGGUUGGAAAGUUUCGGCGGUUGGGGAUGGACUCGCGGCUUAUCAGCUUGUUGGUGGGGUAGUGGCUUACCAAGGCUUUGACGGGUAGCCGGCCUGAGAGGGUGACCGGCCACAUUGGGACUGAGAUACGGCCCAGACUCCUACGGGAGGCAGCAGUGGGGAAUAUUGCACAAUGGGCGGAAGCCUGAUGCAGCGACGCCGCGUGCGGGAUGACGGCCUUCGGGUUGUAAACCGCUUUCGCCUGUGACGAAGCGUGAGUGACGGUAAUGGGUAAAGAAGCACCGGCUAACUACGUG